rnacentral:tRNA from 1 species
AGGUCUGUGCUCCUGGGAGAGCAGUCAGCCUCCAAAACUGACGGACCAGGUUCAACUCCUGGCGGACCUG